AUGGUACUCCCUCCGUCCAGAAAUACUUAUCAAGAAAUAUAUAAAAAUGGAUGUAUGUAAAAUUAAAAUACGUCUAGAUACAUCUAUUUCUCCGUCAAGUAUUUCUAGACGGAGGGAGUACCAU
rfam:Triticum aestivum genome assembly, contig: Triticum_aestivum_CS42_TGACv1_scaffold_503278_6BL